CGAGAAAUAAAAUGGGAGAGGGGGGUGUUAUCACCACUGGGU
rnacentral:antisense_RNA from 1 species